GACGAACGCUGGCGGCGUGCUUAACACAUGCAAGUCGAACGGAAAGGCCCUGCUUUUGUGGGGUGCUCGAGUGGCGAACGGGUGAGUAACACGUGAGUAACCUGCCCUUGACUUUGGGAUAACUUCAGGAAACUGGGGCUAAUACCGGAUAGGAGCUCCUGCUGCAUGGUGGGGGUUGGAAAGUUUCGGCGGUUGGGGAUGGACUCGCGGCUUAUCAGCUUGUUGGUGGGGUAGUGGCUUACCAAGGCUUGGACGGGUAGCCGGCCUGAGAGGGUGACCGGCCACAUUGGGACUGAGAUACGGCCCAGACUACAACGGGAGGCAGCAGUGGGGAAUAUUGCACAAUGGGCGGAAGCCUGAUGCGGCAACGCCGCGUGCGGGAGGACGGCCUUCGGGUUGGAAACCGCUUUCGCCUGUGACGAAGCGUGAGUGACGGUAAUGGGUAAAGAAGCACCGGCUAACUACGUG
rnacentral:rRNA from 1 species